rnacentral:lncRNA from 1 species
CAUCUUCUAUAUCUCCUAUAUCAUAUUCUGGCACUUCAUUACACUCAGGUUCUGGUGAUGCUGGCACCUCAAUGAUAGGCUCAUUGUUUUCGAUUCUGGUUCUUGUUUCAGAGAACAUGUUUGCAUCUAUAGGAUCAAGUGGCAUCGGAUUGAUUUGACCAGGUGUGGUUGCUUCUUGAGGAGGAAGUGACAAUUGAUUGAUACCCAUAGCUGGAACAUGGUUGCCCAUUGCUGGUACGUUUGAACUCACAAUACCUUUUUCCUCUGGCCCUGGCAGGGCAAGCCUUGCACUGUAGCCAAAAUCAUUAAUCAUUAGUCUCUCUCUGGCCCAUUUUCUCCAUAUAUCUACUAAAAAUACUUACAUGGCAAUUUUAUUGAUUAUCACAUAAUUUGCUAGAUUGAUUCUCCAUCUAGCAAAUUAAAAUUCUUUCGAAUUGAAUCUGGAACUUCAUUAGAAUCUUACCUUGCAAAUGCACUUGCAAAAUGUUUGCACUCUGCUCUCAUUGGACAUGCAUUGCAAUUAGGCUUGCUCUUUGUACAGAAGACCUACAUGAUACUCGAAACAUGCAAUUCCUGUUAGUUGCUUUACAGCUUAUAGCAAUUGGUAGACUAGAGCUUCUUGAUAUUACAUGUUAAUCACUGAAAUCAGUCAACAUACCUUUCCGAAAGUAAUAAGCUGAUAGUGUAGUUCAUACCUGUAAUCAAAUCACUGAUUCAUUAUAAACAUUCAAAGAGUUCCACCAACACCACACACACAGCAGAAAAGCAAAUAUAUUUAGAUUUAUAAGAAAGCAGGGUUUGGAGUUACAAUGUCCGUUGAUCAAGCGUGCAUAGCCGUGGCCAUAGAUACUUCUGUAUAGUUUCCAGAAUAGGAUACCUACACAAAUUCAACCAAGUUAGCUUGAUGUGAUGGAUCAUUGGAUCAUUCAUAUUUCUUUGGUUUACAGACAAUACUUACAUUUCUAGAAGAUGCAGUUGAAGGGACUCAGGAAGGGGUUGGAGCGGCACCCACCCUAGUCUAACAGCUAUGCGUCCAACAUUUGUGUCGACCUUAAACACGAUAAAAAAUUGUUUAGCAUAUUGUUGCUAGAUUUAUAGAUUACAUUUAACUGCACAGAUUUUAUUGAAGUCUUACUGGAAAAGCAAGGUGAUGGAGGGUCAGAAGUCGGACACAUUCAACACUCUUCAGUCCUAAUCCCCUCACGCUUAGCAGGUAUUCCCUACAAUAAUUGGACAUUCAAAAUAUCAGCUGCUGAACAGUUGAAUUCCAAUUUUGUUGAAAUAAUAAAUAAUGUUAAUCUAUAACUGUUCUUUCAUGCAGUUUAACUGUUUGCCACUUACUUUGCUUUAUCAGGUGGGACAUCCCUUAACCAUUCAAGGUCAAUGCUUCCAUGUUCUUUAACAAGUCGGUCAAGGAAUGCCUGCAGAGAAAAAGCAAAUACUUCAACUGUAAGUAAUGUGAUCACAACAGGCGUUUUCUGAACUGAAAGCAGUUGGGUUGUGUACCUUGAUUCGCUCUGCAAGCAUGUUGUUCAUUCCUCGUUCUUUGAUGGCCUUGGCAAUCUCAUUUACAUCUGCACAUCGAACUGCCUCCCAAUCAAGUGAGUCCAUUGUGUCAUGAUUUCUCUCUCGUUUUCCACAGUUUUUAUAUGCAUCUUUCCUUAGAUAAUCCCAGUCAACUGCCUUCUUUUUCUCCUUUGCAGGCUUUCCAUUCGGCUUUUUUGGAGUUUUAUUCUUUGUCUCAUGAGAUGA